rnacentral:rRNA from 1 species
GAUGAACGCUGGCGGCGUGCCUAAUACACGCAAGUCGAGCGAACGGACGAGAAGCUUGCUUCUCUGAUGUUAGCGGCGGACGGGUGAGUAACAUGUGGAUAACCUACCUAUAAGACUGGGAUAACUUCGGGAAACCGGAGCUAAUACCGGAUGAUAUUUUGAACCGCAUGGUUCAAAAGUGAAAGACGGUCUUGCUGUCACUUAUAGAUGGAUCCGCGCUGCAUUAGCUAGUUGGUAAGGUAACGGCUUACCAAGGCAACGAUGCAUAGCCGACCUGAGAGGGUGAUCGGCCACACUGGAACUGAGACACGGUCCAGACUCCUACGGGAGGCAGCAGUAGGGAAUCUUCCGCAAUGGGCGAAAGCCUGACGGAGCAACGCCGCGUGAGUGAUGAAGGUCUUCGGAUCGUAAAACUCUGUUAUUAGGGAAGAACAUAUGUGUAAGUAACUGUGCACAUCUUGACGGUACCUAAUCAGAAAGCCACGGCUAACUACGUG